rnacentral:rRNA from 1 species
GAUGAACGCUGGCGGCGUGCCUAAUACAUGCAAGUCGAGCGAACGGACGAGAAGCUUGCUUCUCUGAUGUUAGCGGCGGACGGGUGAGUAACACGUGGAUAACCUACCUAUAAGACUGGGAUAACUUCGGGAAACCGUAGCUAAUACCGGAUAAUAUUUUGAACCGCAUGGUUCAAAAGUGAAAGACGGUCUUGCUGUCACUUAUAGAUGGAUCCGCGCUGCAUUAGCUAGUUGGUAAGGUAACGGCUUACCAAGGCAACGAUGCAUAGCCGACCUGAGAGGGUGAUCGGCCACACUGGAACUGAGACACGGUCCAGACUCCUACGGGAGGUAGCAGUAGGGAAUAUUCCGCAAUGGGCGAAAGCCUGACGGAGCAACGCCGCGUGAGUGAUGAAGGUCUUCGGAUCGUAAAACUCUGUUAUUAGGGAAGAACAUAUGUGUAAGUAACUGUGCACAUCUUGACGGUACCUAAUCAGAAAGCCACGGCUAACUACGUG